rnacentral:rRNA from 1 species
GACGAACGCUGGCGGCGUGCCUAAUACAUGCAAGUAGAACGCUGAAGGAGGAGCUUGCUUCUCUGGAUGAGUUGCGAACGGGUGAGUAACGCGUAGGUAACCUGCCUGGUAGCGGGGGAUAACUAUUGGAAACGAUAGCUAAUACCGCAUAAGAGUAGAUGUUGCAUGACAUUUGCUUAAAAGGUGCAAUUGCAUCACUACCAGAUGGACCUGCGUUGUAUUAGCUAGUUGGUGGGGUAACGGCUCACCAAGGCGACGAUACAUAGCCGACCUGAGAGGGGGAUCGGCCAAACUGGGACUGGGACACGGCCCAGACUCCUACGGGAGGGAGCAGUAGGGGAUCUUCGGCAAUGGACGGAAGUCUGAACGAGCAACGCCGCGUGAGUGAAGGAGGUUGUCGGGUCGUAAAGCUCUGUUGUAAGAGAAGAACGAGUGUGAGAGUGGAAAGUUCACACUGUGACGGUAUCUUACCAGAAAGGGACGGCUAACUACGUG